UACGUAGGGUGCGAGCGUUAAUCGGAAUUACUGGGCGUAAAGCGUGCGCAGGCGGUUUUGCAAGCCGGAUGUGAAAUCCCCGGGCUUAACCUGGGAAUGGCAUUUGGGACUGCAAGGCUGGAGUGCGGCAGAGGAGACUGGAAUUCCUGGUGUAGCAGUGAAAUGCGUAGAUAUCAGGAGGAACACCGAUGGCGAAGGCAGGUCUCUGGGCGUGACACUGACGCUCAUGCACGAAAGCGUGGGGAGCAAACAGG
rnacentral:rRNA from 1 species